rnacentral:lncRNA from 1 species
GUCAAAGUUGUACAAUAACUGCUUACCCUUCUAUGGACGGAUCAGCCCAGUUUUUAGUGCGUUAGUGAUUCCUAAUCUUUAGUUUUCUAAAGAGUGGUGUUUGUGUAGUGUUGUCUGUUUGGUGUUGUUUGUUUUGUGUUGUGUAAAAUAUUGUUUGUGCUCGUGUUGUGUAGUGAUGUUUGUUUGAUGGUGCGUGUUGUUAGUGUAGAGUGUUUUUUGUGUAGUGCUGUGUAGAGUAUUGUUCGUGUAAAAAUGUUGUGUGGAGUGUUGUUUGUCUUUCGCCUUUUUUCCUAUAUUGGCCAUGGUGCUGUCAGCGAAAUUCGGAAUUGUGCAUUACGUACAACGAUUCGAUCUGUGUCUGACGGUACGCGAUAGGCUUUUUUAAUUUUUUUAUUCCUGCUCUUAAUUGUGUCUUAUUAUCAGUCCGUGUCCUCCAGUCCGUUACUGUUGUUUUUUUUUUUGCGGAAACAAAUUUUGAAAACUUAGCGGCCAGCUCAAAUCCAUUCCAGUUUUAAUUAUGUUAGGUGAGGUACAUUCGGAUGUACCUGUCAAUGUUUACGCACUGCACGCGUUGUGAUCUUACUUUUUUGUUAACACUACAUGAUGUUUAUUUCCGUGUUGUCUUUAUUGGUACAACUCUGCGAUUACUUGUCAUUACAGGGUCAUGUCUACGAUUUAGGUUCAAAGAAGUAACGACACGAACUUCCGAAGUAAAACGAAUAUUCUCACCUGGAGCAACGUAUAUAUAUAACUCGUCUAAACAUCAACCCAACAAUAUUAGAUCUGUAAAUUUUGUUCUUCCCUCGCCAGGGAUUCGAACCUAUGCAACUGAGAUAUCGUGACACCAAAUCC